rnacentral:rRNA from 1 species
AAUAUAAAAAAGCGGAGGAAAAGAAACUAACAAGGAUUCCCCUAGUAACGGCGAGUGAAGCGGGAAGAGCUCAAAUUUGAAAUCUGGUGGACUCAGUCCAUCCGAGUUGUAAUCUAUAGAAACGUUUUCCGCGCCGGCCCAUGUACAAGUCCCUUGGAACAGGGCGUCAUAGAGGGUGAGAAUCCCGUCCUUGACAUGGACCACCGGUGCUAUGUGAUACGUUCUCAACGAGUCGAGUUGUUUGGGAAUGCAGCUCAAAAUGGGUGGUAAAUUCCAUCUAAAGCUAAAUAUUGGCGAGAGACCGAUAGCGAACAAGUACCGUGAGGGAAAGAUGAAAAGCACUUUGGAAAGAGAGUUAAACAGUAUGUGAAAUUGUUGAAAGGGAAACGAUUGAAGUCAGUCAUGUCCUUGGGAUUCAGCCUGUUCUGCAGGUGUACUUCCCUUGGAUGGGGUCAACAUCAGUUUUGACCGCUGGAUAAAGGCUGGAGGAAGGUAGCACUCUCGGGUGAACUUAUAGCCUCCUGUCGCAUACAGUGGUUGGGACUGAGGAACGCAGCUUGCCUUUAUGGCCGGGAUUCGUCCACGUACAAGCUUAGGAUGUUGACAUAGAUGGCUUUAAACGACCCGUCUUGAAACCACGGACAC